rnacentral:lncRNA from 1 species
GGGCCACAUCAAGCUUUGCCUUUUUGCAGUCUGCAUUUCUCUCUGUUGUUAUAUAGAAGCUUUUGCUGUACUUUUUAACCAGGAUGAGUAUUUUUGUGUUUCCGUGCCUCUUGGGUCCCCAGCUAUUCGUGCAGUUGCAGAGCUGGCUACUCUUCUUACACUAGGUUGGUUUCUGUGUUUACUACCUAACUGAGCUGGUUUUAGCUGAGGCUAAACCCUGAUUAAUGACUAUUAAAGCAAAACGGUGCUUUUGCCAAGCAUAGGGGUUAAAUAUAGUUAUGUGCUGAUAAUUGGAUGUGGUAAACAACUCUAUUUUAAUGUCAAUAAUAUUUUAAAGACAACAGUUUAUAGGAAUGAACUAAUCUGCUGUUUAACAUCACAAUGUAGAUGAGCAUGUACCUUACUUUGUACAUGGAUGAAAUAAGACUUGCUCAGUUUGGAAAGGCCUCAUUUUUGCAAGGGAUAGUGUGUCACCAUGGUUGUUACUCUUACAAAUAAGAAUAAAGUACUGAAAGGUGUUGCCUAGAAAGGCUUGCACUUCUGCCAGCUGUGCUUAUGCAAUGUAGUUGGAAGAUGAAGUAACUGAAAGAAACUGUUAUGUAAACAUCAUUACUAGAAUGCUUUCAGAGAUCAAAAGGUAAAUCCCAGAAAGCCUUCAGCAGCCAAAAAUGUUUUCUUUCAUAGAGUAGCAGGGCUGACAACCAAAGACGACACUGGGUCCAUUCCCCUGCCCCAGUUAUAGUUAUGUCACUGUUGGCAUAAAAUUGCCUGAAAGGGCUCUGGGGCAGAAGACUCCACAGUUUGUUUCAGUGCUUCCCUGUCCUUGCUGUCAGCAAAUCCCCUACUAUAUUCUCCAUGCAUCUCUCUUGCAGCCCAUUUAUGCUAUCCACCAGGUCCACAGAGAAGAGCUUACUUUCCUUCUGCACAACAGUCUUUUACAUACCUAAAGAUUGCUGUUACUUCUAUUACAGCUGUUGCUCUUUUUCUAGUCAAAAUUAUAUUUGAAUUGUAUUUCUCUACUUAGAGGUAGCAUUUUCUAGAGCCCUUUAACGUUCCUGCUUCUCUCCUUCUGUGAUUUACCACUCCAGCCAUUGCCCUCACUGAUGCUGAACUGGUUUGUAUGGCUUGUUUGCUGUACUGCAGUACACACCCAAGUAUUGUGGUUUGUUUUUUCUUGCAGUGGUAUAAUCUUUAAUUUCCCAGCCUGUGCUCCCACGCUCCCUUUUGUGCAAAUUGUCUUGAACAUCUUUGAAGCGUUUUUUGCCCUUUUUUAAAAUUUCUGUAAUAAGCAAUAAUAACCUGCAUGUAAAAUUUCUGUGGUCAGGUUCAUUGUAUUUCACCUUGCAUUACUGAGAAGGUUUCUCUGCCUUUGGGUGAUAAUUUGAGCUCUAAUUUUGUCCAGUCCAUUUUCUGGUUGCAGAUUAACUAGACCAAGUCUGCUUGGAACUUGAGAAUCAUUCUAUUUCUACCGGAGACCACUGUUGACUGAUUUCUGGGCAUUUUGUUCAUCCUGUGGUUGCUAUUUCCUUGACAAGCUUAUGAAAAUCAAGUGCCAUACAAUAGUCAUACUGUGUGAGGAAGGAAGGUAUGCAGUACCUGCCCAAGCAGCUCAGAAAUUCGGGAGCAGGGUUGAGGAUGGUGAAGUCUACAGAGCCAGUAGGAAGUGAAGAAGUGAGAAAAGCAAGCUCAGAGGAUAUCCUUUCUGUGCAUCCCGAAUGCCUUCACAUUACUUCCCAAGUACUCUUCUUACCUUGGCUUAGCGAUGAGAGCAUGGAAAUGAUGUUUCUCUGGUGAUCCUUUUUGCUGUUGUAAGUUGGAAUUUAUUUUUAAAGCAGUGUUUGAAAGAAAUCUGUAUGCUUAACACAAACUGCCUCUCCAAAUCUCUUCUGUAAUGAGUUCUAUGCAGCAAUAACAUUUCCUAAAGGUAUGUGCAUACUUACAAAACACUGCUUUAACCAUUUGGCUGUAAGGGCUUAAUCUGUCUCUAUUAUGUUGCCUACUCAGGGUUUGUGAAGUGGCUUCUGACAUUUCUUUGUGUUAGGUCUGGUUUAUGAAGUGCUUCUCUGAAUGAAUAGUGACUCUGCAUCGAGUGCUGUGCAAAACACAGGGAGGGGAGGUGAUCUAAGCACCCAAGAGCCGAACCAGAAUUCUUCAUGCACCCAAGACAAGCCACUGACAUUGUGCUGGAAGCUUUGUUUGCAAAGAAUAAUGCUGGAUUGCACUAUAAGCAAUGGCUCUUUGCCAAACAAUACACACGUUUCUCUUGGCAUGAAAUCAUGUAAUAUAAACAAUGGCAGGGAAAAAAUAGUUUGUGGAUAAGCAUAAGCUGAGAUAUAAAAACAUCAUGUACAAUAGUGAGCAGUAGGGAGACUGGAAAACGUAACGCAGGUUUCCUUUCUGUUUUGUUCCUUCUUGCUGGCACUCUCGUGAACUGUGCUUAUGGCACUGUCCUUUCCAACUGCAAAAACAUGACUUAACUAUCAAACUGUAUUUCUUAACUACCAAAAUUACUUCCUCAAAAGGAUCCAAACGCCUACUGGUUAUGAGCUGGGAAAGAACUGCACGCCUUAAGCCUGUUAGAAGUUUUGAUAAUGAAGCAGUUUCUAUUUUAUUGGUCUUUCAACAGCAGCUGUUGGUGAUUAGUUAAUCAGAAGUAUCUGUCUUAGUUGAACUUUUUUAAUGACUGGUGCUUGUUCAUGUUCUCGUUUUUUCCAUCUUUCUGGCAGCAGGUGGAGCCAGAAGUUCAGCUUUACACUAAGAGCUUACUGCUGUUGGAGUUCUCUACUCCUGAGGGCUUGCUUUUGUCUUUACCGAUACAAGAAUGUGACCCAGGGUUUGUCUCGCUGCUGGGUGCUGUGUCAAAACGUAGCUUAUGCUGUGCACUCAAGGCCAAUCUUGGGUAGAGGGAACUGCACGAACUGCUUCGUCUAUCUCUAGUAUGAUCAGUACUUGGCAGUUCAUAGUUGUCAGUGUUAGGCUGAUAGGGAUGUAGGACCAUCUGAGAAAGAGGAUGAAGGAAAAAAAGAGGUUUUAUUUCUCAAAGAACUGAAGUAAGGCAAAUCAGAAGGAAAGUGGGGGGUUGUAACAGAACUUGAAAUACUACUUGACAUUAGGAAGUUGCCUUCUGUGGGCAUCCCAGUGGUGCUUUGGUCCAGAGUGAGAGCCAGGACAAGUUGGGUUUCCUGUGUUUGUACAGCAAGAAGUGAGCUUUAUAAAACAUCUACUUUUCCCCUCAGGAAAACAGAUGAGAAAAAUGUGGUGCCAGCAAUGUCAAUCAAUCAAACAGAUCUAGAACUACCCUCAGGGAAACCUCAGCACACCACUGCAUUGACCACUGCUUGGUUGAGGGCUUGGCAUCUGCUCCUGAGGCAUUGCUUUGUCUGCAAGGAGCUGGAGGGGGUUCUUUGGUCCCACUCAGACACUGUGCAGUCAGAGAACUCAUGGGGUCAAGGCAGCCCUGCUUACAGCACUGCUUUGUUUUUCUUUCAAAUACAAGUUCAGAUGCUUUUAUUUUCAUAUUUGGGUUAGUCUGUAUUCAUCCUGCAGCAUCGUGUGCUAACACGGCACAGAUAAGAAGUGACCAUAACAAAUCCUGCCCCGUUGUUUCCCUCCUCAGUGCUGUCUGUCUGUCUGUAUGGUCUUGUUUGCAGAAAUCUGAGCAGGGACUGAGAUGUCUGGAAAAUCCCCAAGCUGUUAUCGGCUCUAGUCCAAAUAAAUAAGAGUAGAAAGCAACUCCCACUCAUUCCUGUAUGAAAUCCUAUUAAUUUUCCAUGAUUUAGGCUAUGUAUAAAGACCUGCAGGAGUAUUGACCCUUUGCACAAUGUGCAAACCAAACAAAGGCCUGGACCUUGGAUGAACUCCCAGUCCUUCCCUGGGGUCUGACACAUGGAGACCUAAUUCUCAACGUAAUACGCUCAUUCGGAAUAGAUGUGAAGUGAGAAUGGGGAAAAGCUGUCUGCAUUGCACAACUCCACUUGAAAUAACAGAAGGAACAGUGUGUAAGGGCAUAAUUCACACUGAGCACCUGACUGAGCUGUAGUUGGCUGUCCAACUCACUGGCUUGUCCUGCAGUGGUGGGGCUGGGGAGUGAACCCCCCUGCCUGGGGGAGAUGAGCAAUGGCUGAGACUGAAAAUCUCCUUUCUGCUCAGCAGGUGCUGUGGCUGCCCUACUGUAGGUGAGUACUGAUGGAGAUCCAACUGCUCCAUCAUCACAGAUGGGUGCAGGAGGAAUGCAUUCCUAUGAGGUGCUGCAUGGAUCUCAUUCUGGAUGCUGGGUGAAGCCUUAUUGGAGGGGAUGGGAGUUAGAUGCAUCCUUAAUUUGAGCCCCAAGGAGGUGAUGUGACCGAGAUGGGAGCAGUGCUUUAUGUUCAGUAGACAGCCACCCAACUCCAGUACCAUUUUUCUCUUCAGGAACACCCUGAGAAGACUGAAAUUUGGCUGCAACUCUCUUUGGUCACCUCUUCUUAGGGCACCCAUAGCAAUUAAUGCUCAUUAGCUGGUGAGCUCUAAGCCAUCAGUGCGUGCCUGACAGCCCUGCAUCUGGCACCAGGAAUGGGAUUUCUUUGGCAUCUAAGCACUGCACUCGUGAGUAAUUGUAUUGUGGAUGGUGCUGAUGGUAGAAAGCAGAAUGUUAUGAAUUGAAGAGGACAAAGAAAACCACGCAGUGGUAUGGAGGGCGGUGGAGCAGGCUGGCUCCAUCUCUGGGCUGGCUGUGCAUGCACAUGAACCAAAGCUGUGUCAUGGGGACAGUUUGUGUUGUCUAGACUGUAAUAAGUGCAAGGCAGCUGGAGCAUGAGCCCAGAGCCUUGGCCUUGCUGAUACUCGCCUCCCUCUCUUGCUCCUUCACAACAAGGUUAAGGGCAGCAGGAGGAAUGUGUGAGAAAGGGAGCGAUGUCUGCACGCAGUGCGGGCUCUGAGCAAAUGAACUCCAGCUUUGGUUCCCAGCACUGAAGUUAACCUUUGAGAGCACAACAGUGAAAACAAGAUGCCUGCCUGAGAUGGCUUACAUUUCUGGGCGGCUGCUGCCUUUGUAACUGAUCAUAGCAAUGUCAUUACAGGCAUCAGGUGGGUGUGG